rnacentral:lncRNA from 14 species
GCCAAGAAACUGGCUUCUGGCUCCACAGGGAACCCACCCACAUUGGGCUCUGUGUUUUAUGGAAUCCAUGGUCCCUAGAAGGUCUAAGGCCUCUUGUGGCCCUAAUCAGACUUUCUCUGAGUUGGGAGGUAAGUUCCCAAAGAGCAGGGACAGAUGCCUGGACAGACUCAACAGGAGAGGCGCCAAAUGGGCAGAUGUAUACCUCACCAGAGCUUGCAACAGACUCCUGGUUACUCAUUUUUUCAGUGAAUGGCUAUACUUCUUGUCAGGAGAAGUGCUCUCUCGAUGUC